rnacentral:rRNA from 1 species
GAUGAACGCUAGCGGCAGGCUUAACACAUGCAAGUCGAGGGGCAGCCGGGAGGAAGCUUGCUUUCUCCGCCGGCGACCGGCGCACGGGUGAGUAACACGUAUGCAACCUGCCCCUGCAGGGGGACAACCGCCGAAAGCGGGCUAAACCCGCGUACAUGCCACCGGGGCAUCCCGGAGGCAGGAAAGGCUUCGGCCGGACAGGGAUGGGCAUGCGGCGCAUUAGGCAGUAGGCGGGGUAACGGCCCACCUAACCGACGAUGCGUAGGGGUUCUGAGAGGAAGGUCCCCCACACUGGUACUGAGACACGGACCAGACUCCUACGGGAGGCAGCAGUGAGGAAUAUUGGUCAAUGGUCGGGAGGCUGAACCAGCCAAGCCGCGUGAGGGAUGAAGGUACAGAGUAUCGUAAACCUCUUUUGUCAGGGAACAAAGGCGGGGACGUGUCCCCGGAUGAGUGUACCUGAAGAAAAAGCAUCGGCUAACUCCGUG